rnacentral:lncRNA from 1 species
ACCGGUGUUCUCCCGAGAGCCUGUGUUUACUUCUGAGCAACGUGAGACAACAGCUGCGGCUCACACGUGUCAUUUCUCUUAAAGUGCCACCGCUAAUGCAUUGAAGCCUGAAAAUGCAGCUGUACUGAAGAUCAUAACAGAGUCACAGCCAUUGAGAUCCGCACGUGAGAUGAAACGAGCAGAAAUGGCCUUAAGCUUCUAUGAAAGACAGGCUGCGGUGAGAGGGAUUCAUGCCACUUCAUCAAAAUUACACAGGCCUGUAUUGCCUAUACAGGUAUUACUGGCUACCAUCUGCUCUCCACUGUGUGUUUCUGAGGGUCUCUGCUUGGAGCAGCAGGGAUCUUCAUCCUCACUUCCACUGCUGAAGUCCAAAACCUCAGCGGGUUUAAUACAGACCCCUGCUGAUCCUCCUGCUCGCUCAGUAGCAGCAUCUGCUGACCAAGGAUCCUGAGAUGGAUGAUGGGAAAGAGACACGGGUCUGUGAAAGGGGUGGAUACUCACGGGUUCCUGCAUCCUUUCGUCCACGGCUUGAGUUCUGGCCGUCAUGAUUCCCACCUCCAAUUGGCCUUCCCUCUGUGCGCCCAUCACGCCAUUCCCAUCAUGUCAAGGAGAAGGAAUUCAUUUCAUAUAAACAGUUCAUUAAAGGCAUGUCAUCAGGGAUAUGCAUGACCCGCUGGGCCCGUACAGACAGUAUAUCCACAUUCUCAUCAGAACUUCUGCAUCACUAAUUCAUAACAGAUUCAAAGUUUGACAUUAAUAUCACCAAACCAGAGACGGGAAAACUGGUCGAUAUAAUAUCUGUCACAUUGGAAUAUUUGCACAUGAGGUGGGCAAAAGUUUGGAGUAAUUACGUUUUGUUUUUAAGAAGUCUAUUCUGCUCACCAAGAAUUCAUUCAUCUGAUUGAAAUCAUAGUAUUUAUUUGUAACAUAAAUGUUUUCUUUCAUUCCCAGAGAUGGGUCGCGGAUGGAAGGGCAUCCGCUGCGAAAAAAACUUGCUGGAUAAGUUGGCGGUUUAUUCCGCUGUGGCGACCCCGGAUUAUUAAAGGGACUACUCUGACGACUCUGCGCCAUCUUGUGACUUAAUAAUGCUCCAGUUAGUGUAUACUUCAUCCAUUGUUUUCAUUUCUGUCAGCUUUGCGUUUUUGACGAUUUGGAGCCAUCUUAUGAUUGAACAAUUUGCAAGUUAGUGUAUACUCCAUCAGUUGUUUUCAUUACUGUCAGCUGUGUUUUUGACAUUUUGGCGCCAUCUUGAGACUGAAUAAAGCGCAAGUUAGUGUAUA